AACGAACGCUGGCGGCAUGCCUAACACAUGCAAGUCGAACGAGACCUUCGGGUCGAGUGGCGCACGGGUGCGUAACGCGUGGGAACCUGCCCUUAGGUUCGGAAUAACUCCCCGAAAGGGGUGCUAAUACCGGAUAAUGUCUUCGGACCAAAGAUUUAUCGCCUUUGGAUGGGCCCGCGUUGGAUUAGCUAGUUGGUAGGGUAAAAGCCUACCAAGGCGACGAUCCGUAGCUGGUCUGAGAGGAUGAUCAGCCACACUGGGACUGAGACACGGCCCAGACUCCUACGGGAGGCAGCAGUGGGGAAUAUUGGACAAUGGGCGAAAGCCUGAUCCAGCAAUGCCGCGUGAGUGAUGAAGGCCUUAGGGUUGUAAAGCUCUUUUACCCGGGAUGAUAAUGACGGUACCGGAAGAAUAAGCUCCGGCUAACUCCGUG
rnacentral:rRNA from 1 species